AUUGAACGCUGGCGGCAGGCCUAACACAUGCAAGUCGAGCGAUAACGGUCUUCGGGCUUAUUAAAGCGGCGGACGGGUGAGUAACGCGUGGGAAUCUACCUAGUAGUGGGGGACAACAGUUGGAAACGACUGCUAAUACCGCAUACGCCCUACGGGGGAAAGCGGAGGAUCUUCGGACUUCGUGCUAUUGGAUGAGCCCGCGUGAGAUUAGUUUGUUGGUGGGGUAAUGGCCUACCAAGACUACGAUCUCUAGCUGGUCUGAGAGGAUGAUCAGCCACACUGGAACUGAGACACGGUCCAG
rnacentral:rRNA from 1 species